GGAGCUUUGCUGAAACUGCACAAAAAAUCGAGCUGGGGGGUUCCCUGGUCCCCGAUGUUGGGGCGGAGAGCGCGGCGCCGAGGGAGGGGGCGGCGCAGACCGGCCUAGGGGACACCUGGUCGAGCGCAGCCGCCGCUCCGCUCGAGCCCUGCGCUCCAGUGCCCCCACUGGCUGGAGAGCUCGCCCAGACCGGGGGUCUUCCUCCGUCGCUGACAGAUUUUAACCAUUAGAAGAAUACCAGUUCUGGAAAACAACCAAAGUUUCUUUGAUUGAAUGCCCAUGUAAUGCAUUGGAAUAUGAUAGGCGAUUAAGGUUUAACAAUGUUAAAAUGAAGAUAUUACUAAAAUGGCCCUCUAAAUAGCCCAACAAUUAUUAUUUUGUCUUCACACUGUGUUAGAAAUAAGGAAGGUGAUAAAGAAUGCCUGUAAGCAUUAAUUCUCUCUCUCGGGCAGAAACCUACGUGUUCCUCUUCCAGAGAGCUGGUGAAGCCAAAGGCAUUCUCAUAAUGAUGCGCUACACCGACUGACAUUUACCAACUGUGUCAAAGCUACAGGAGCCAGGUAGACACUGCUGGAACUUUAACGGGAAUCAAACAAGUCUAUAAGAAGCACUGAGCUGUGCCACUACCCAAUCAGUGUUCUUCCAGAGCACACAAACGAAAGUGGGAGGAGCCUUCCAAUGAGAACUGUUGUGUGAUUAAUCAAUGAGGCUGACUAAAGCACACACUUAUAAUCCCAAUACUCAGAAAGACAGAGGAAGAAGGAUAUCAGCGCAAGGCCAACAAGGCUUCAAAGCAAGUACCAACCCAGUAUGGACCAUGAGACCCUAUUUCAGAAACAAAUAAUAAAAGCUUGAUGAAGCUGCAAAAA
rnacentral:lncRNA from 1 species